AAGAAAGUGCCAACCGCCAUUUUCAACGUCUCCAAUCCGAGACACCAAUGAAGAACGCUCCUUUUGGACUUCAAACCCAGACCCUUAUUGAAAAAUCUCUAGAGCCAUACUCAACACUAGCACAUUUCCUGAUAGCUCGUUUAAUUUCAAUGGCGAAAGUCUCCGAGAACGAGCUAGACAGUGUGAGAAGGAGGGUGGCCUCUGUUUCCAACCAUCUCGCCCCAGUUCCUUUCUCCAAUUAUGUCUCGAUUGGAUUAUCCAACACUUCAAUGAACGAUAGCUAUCACAGGAUACAUGGGGAAGUCUCGACAGAGCAAGUCGUUUGGAGAAAUACCCAUGAUGGGUCCGAGCAGUUCACUGACAUUAUAUAUGACAAAGCUGUUGGCGAAGGGAUUGCAAAGAUUACCAUUAAUAGGCCAGAAAGAAGGAAUGCGUUUCGGCCACAGACGAUUAAGGAGCUAAUUCGCGCAUUUAACGAUGCUAGGAACGAUGCUUCUGUUGGAGUUAUUAUUCUAACUGGGAAGGGAACUAAGGCCUUUUGCAGUGGCGGCGACCAGUCAUUAAGAAACGCAGAUGGUUAUGCUGAUCCUAAUGAUAUGGGUCGUCUCAAUGUUUUGGACUUGCAGGUACUAGUGACUAGUGCGUCACUCCAUCGUUUAAACUAAGCUUGCUCUGGAUCUUGCUUGCUGUGUUGAUGUGUGCAUAUAUAAAAGACUACACAUUCGUGGUCUGUAAUGCGUCAUUUCCAUUUCUAACUGCAGUUCAAAUGAUGAUUCACUAUCAAAUUUCAGCCUCUUUAGCAACUUCGAGGUCUUUCUUAUGAGAACUACUAUUAUUUUGGCCUUAAUUGGGUACUAAAAACACCGAAUUGAAAUGUUUAUGGCUCAAUAUAACAUGGCUUCAGUUAGAGGGCUUAAUAGGAAAAACUUGAAAAUGCCAGUAGCUCUUCAAUGGGUUUUUACUAUAUUAAGGCGUGAUCUUGGUUAUGCUGUUUUUCACCUUCAGUCAUUCUGUAAUUGUCAUAACUUAUUUGGUUUAAUCAUCAUGCAGGUGCAGAUUCGGCGUCUUCCAAAGCCAGUAAUAGCAAUGGUAUACACUUCUUAUUCCUGCAUGGAUUGUCUCAUUGAAUGUGGUAACUAGCCGUGAAUACUUGAAAUUUGCUGAAAAUAUGAUUACAAAACUGUAUGGUCCGAAUGCCAUAUCUUUUAUUCAUUAUAUUUUAAGAUUCACAUUUCCUUUAACAGAAUUGCAAUGUAAGUUCAUGAGAUAAUCAUAGUUUAGAUUCAUCAUAUAUUCGAGUGCAUUGCAUAAUUCAAUACAAUACUCAGGUUGCAGGUUAUGCAGUAGGAGGGGGACAUGUAUUGCACAUGGUUUGUGAUCUCACAAUUGCAGCAGAUAAUGCUAUAUUUGGCCAAACUGGUCCAAAGGUAACUGUCUCACCCACCAUUUUAUCAAGUUAUCUUAUAUUUGUUUCGAUUCUCUGCUAAAGCCUAAAGGGAAAAAAGCAUUGCGAGGUUCACAGAAGAUAUAGGUCAGUCCACCAGGUUGGUACUGUCUUCUUUUCAUGAUAUGAGGGCAAGAGCGCGCAAAGGAAACAUACACAUUAACUGUUAUACGUUGCUUCACUUUCUUCGAACUACUGAGACCUCGUUAAUGUCUGCUUUAUUCUUCCGGUUUAUACAGAUAAUGCUGUUAUAAUAUUGAUAUUGCAGUACUAUUGUUUCUGUGAUAUUCCAGGUUGGAAGCUUUGAUGCUGGUUAUGGAAGUUCCAUUAUGUCCCGUUUGGUUGGACCCAAAAAGGCAUGCGAGAUGUGGUUUCUAGCAAGGUUCUAUACAGCUUCUGAAGCAGAGCAAAUGGGCCUGGUCAACACUGUUGUGCCUUUAGAAAAUUUAGAGCAAGAAACAGUGAAAUGGUGUCGACAGAUACUAAGGAAUAGCCCAACUGCAAUUCGUGUACUCAAGUCAGCUCUUAAUGCAGUUGACGAUGGCCAUGCUGGACUCCAGGUACAUUAAAAAAACUUUGCUUGUCUGAGGUCUCCAAGCUAUUUUAACCCGGCAGCUGUAUACUCCUUCCCACAUAAUUCUCAUUUUUAUUGUUCACAUCAUCCAAACAGAAUAAGCUCUAUGAUAUGUGGUGCUUCCUUCUCCUUUUCCAUUUGCACUCAUAAAAAAUUAUUUCUCAUCCAUGCAGGAGCUUGCUGGAAAUGCUACACUUUUAUUCUAUGGCACUGAGGAAGGUAACGAAGGGAAGACAGCGUUUAUGCAACGUAGAAGCCCAGAUUUCUCAAGAUUUCCUCGACGACCUUAAUGUCUAUCAUUACUGUUGUCAUGUAUAUUAUUUCCCACAUUGGUGGAGAUGAAUUUUUUAAUAAAGAGUGCUGAUAGCUUUCUUUCCUAUCAAUGCACUUCUGGGUUGAUCAGCUUCCCUUUCAACAAUGAGAGAUGGAUAUUGAAGAAACUAUCCAGCAGUCGCCCAGAUUGGUGUCCCAUCGAGAUUGCUAGUUGUGAUAUAUUUUUCAUCGUUGUAAUUCAAGGUUCAGGUUGACGUCAUUGUAUUCAUUCAACAGAUAGCAUUGGUAGAAUAUGGAUAAAAUGAAGAAAAAUAAUUAUAAUGAAGAAACGGUUUAUGAUCA
rnacentral:misc_RNA from 1 species